GUAGGUGAACCUGCGGAAGGAUCAUUAACAAAUCAUUGAGCCUUGAGCUCAACAUUUACUCUGGGGUUUAGUAGGGUUCAGUCACUAUUAUUCCCCAUUGUACAUUUACGCUUGUAUUGUUUGACUGUAUCAAUGAAAUCUAUAAUAAAAAGACAACUUUUAACAAUGGAUCUCUUGGCUCUU
rnacentral:misc_RNA from 1 species